GGGAAGGUUCGGGACAGGCGUGCUGUCUGUACGGGGCAUAGGGGGGCAGUUAGAGAGGGAGGUACGGGGAAGGUUCAGGACAGGCGUGCUGUCUGUACGGGGCACAGGGGGGCAGUUAGAGAGGGAGGUACAGGGGGAAGGUUCAGGACAGGCGUGCUGUCUGUACGGGGCACAGGGGGGCAGUUAGAGAGGGAGGUACGGGGAAGGUUCAGGACAGGCGUGCUGUCUGUACGGGACACAAGGAGGCAGUUAGAGAGGGAGGUAUGGGGGAAGGUUCAGAACCAGCGUGCUGUCUGUAUGGGGCACAGGGAGGCAGUUAGAGAGGGAGGUACAGAGGGAAGGUUCGGGACAGGCGUGCUGUCUGUAUGGGGCACAGGGAGGCAGUUAGAGAGGGAGGUACAGAGGGAAGGUUCGGGACAGGCGUGCUGUCUGUAUGGGGCACAGGGAGGCAGUUAGAGAGGGAGGUACAGAGGGAAGGUUCGGGACAGGCGUGCUGUCUGUACGGGGCACAGGGAGGCAGUUAGAGAGGGAGGUACAGAGGGAAGGUUCGG